CUAACCGCCAUGGUUGGGUCAAUGCCCCGUGCCUCCAACUUCUCACUGCCGCAAGAAACGCCACAACAAACUUCAUUCCAAUACUUUUCUCGAAUACUGAGACUCUCGUGUGAACAACGAAAUGUUCGAUCGUACUUGAAAUUAGAAAUCGGCGGUUAUGGACGAAACCGCCGAGACGACGAUGCCUAAUUGGGUCAACGACAGCGCGAAGGUUGCCGGAGAGAGAACCGAUGACUUCGGCGACGAGGAUGAGGAUGAGGACGAGGAAUGCGACGGCGAUGACGAGGCUUGGAACAUACUCACUCGGAGUUUCCGGCAGGCGCAGACGGUGCUGGACGAAAACCGUGCGUUGAUCGAGGAAGUGAACAGCAACCACGAGUCGAAGAUUCCUGACAACAUGAUGAAGAAUGUUAGCCUCAUGACUCAGAUCCACGGCAACAUCUCCAAGGUUCGCUCUAUCUACUCCGAUUUAUCUGUGAAUUUCUCCAACAUUGUUCGACAGCGCCGCGUCGCCGCCGUGAACCACCGCAAUCGCGAUGGGGACUGUGAAGAGGAUGGAGAUGAGGCGGAGAACCCGGAGGAUGAUUCAACGGAGCACGUGUCGGAGAAAUCGGAGUUCGUUUGUGGUGGAGGUGGUAGUGACUUGAAUAUUGAGAAAUCUGUCUGUGUGCUCAUUCCUGGUUGUGUCUAUCUUUGUUGGUUUUCUUUGUUGUAAGGAUGGUUGAAUUGAUAGAUCCAGGAAUGUAUAGAACAUCAUCCACCCGCAGAAAUGAGGAGGCCCUGCGGUACUGUGAAGCAGGGAAGGGGAAAGGGGACAGGACAAGGAUUGAACAUGUAUGUCGUGUUUCACAAUGAUAAAGAUUAUAACGGCCAGUAAUGUCAGCUAUUGCUCAUUGUUUCAU